ACACUCUAUCUACUGAGCCAAACCGCAUUGGCAAGACUUAACCUUUUGAAACACUCUCAGCAGGCUAGUGAUAUAGCUUAAUUAAUAUAACACACAAUGGAUAAGUGUUGCUCUUG